rnacentral:misc_RNA from 1 species
GCAAUACUGCACUCAAAUGUCAAUGUCAGGUUUACUGCAGAAGUGUCGUGUGAGUGCGUAUUGUGGUGUUUUAAAGUUAAGAAAUUCUCUGAGGCCGAUACACACGUACAAAAUGGCUGAUAAAUCUACGGACUAUUCAACGGCCAAUGGUUUUGAGAGUAAAACUCCUUUCCUGAUCGGCGUGGCUGGUGGCACAGCCAGCGGCAAGUCAACAGUAUGCCAGCGUAUCAUGGAGAAGCUUGGCCAGCAGCACAAAGAGCAGACAGAACGCCGCGUCGUUUGCAUCAGCCAGGACUCCUUCUACCGCACCCUCACUCCCUCGGAGAGGCUCCGGGCUGAACGGGGACAGUUCAACUUUGAUCAUCCCGAUGCUUUUGAUGAUAAGAAGCUGCUGGCUAUUCUGAAGGAUAUACUGGCCGGCAAGAAGGUUGAGGUUCCGGAGUAUGAUUAUAUCACAAACUCUAUUAGCCCACAUCGCUCGCACACCAUCUACCCAGCAGACGUAGUGCUGAUCGAAGGCAUCCUCGUGUUCUACUUCCCUGAGGUCCGUGAGCUCUUCCACAUGAAGCUCUUCGUUGAUACUGACUCCGACACCAGGCUGGCUAGGAGAGUGCCCCGCGACAUAAUGGAGCGCGGUCGUGAUCUGGAGCAGGUGCUCAACCAGUACAUGAACUUCGUCAAGCCUGCCUUCGAGGAGUUCUGCUUGCCGACCAAGAAGUUUGCUGACGUGAUCAUUCCCAGGGGCGCUGAUAAUCUGGUGGCAAUUGAUCUAAUCGUGCAGCACAUAUCGGACUACCUGAAGCGCAGCCCGGUGGAUAAGAACAUCGCUUUGGAGCUCGGUCUGUCCUCGUCCUCAGUGCCCGGGAGUCCGCAGCGCGCGGGGAAGGGGGGGAGGCCGCAUUAAAUGUUUUUUAGGUUAGAUACUUGAGCGAUAUUGAUCAGCAAUAAUCGGAGGCGUACGACCAUCGCAUCUCCCCUGGCGGGUUUCUUCACGCGUUAGCUUCUCAGUGUGGCGGGAAAAUGGGUGACGUUUUACCCAAAGAAUCUUUCACUUUUUAUCUCCAAAUAUUUUGACGUUUAACGUCAUAUUUAAGGUUAGGGUCGUGCAACACUGGCUUGUUAAUCACAGGACUUGAAUAAAAACUAAUUAUGAAAAUUAUAAUCGGGAGUGAUAAAAUGGAGGCAGAGAGAUUAUUUAGCUACAAAAUAAACGUACAGACUGUGAGAUUAAGGCAAAUUUGCGUCCUGUGAUUAAUUUGUCCAUGAGUUCAUUGACCGAGUUUGUAAUGUCACCGACCUAUAGUGUUGGCAUCGCUUGGAGCUGUGCUCACUCCCAAAGGGACAGUGGUCGUGAACGUACACUUUGUUCGAAACGUUUUGAAAAGUAGAUAAGCUUAAAUUAGAUAUUUACACUAAAUUAAAUGGGCUCGUGACUAGACCGGACCUAUAGUGGUGUGCCUUGGUAAAAAAGGUGAAUGUUGAAAUUGAUAUAAAUUAUUAAAAACACGUAGGUAUAGUUGACUUUUAAUAUCUCAUUACCGUUGCAAAUUAGAAGUUUUGUCAAUUCUCUUCGCGAAAUCUAGUAAUUGCGUAAAGCACAAAAUAUUUUUUACCAUGUUCCGCCUGUUUCAAAGAGUAAAGUUCCCGCCAUUUUAUCGCUGCGCCAUAUUGAAAAAAAAUAUUGCACUCUAUAGAUUAUUGUAAUGUAAGUAAAUAAUUUUCUAAACGGAAUUUUGAAUUAAUCUCCUAAGAGAACUACAUAUCUAGAGAUAAAAACUAUAUAGAACUCAUCUAGUUAGUUACUAGUCAAUCAAUUUGUUUCUAAAAUAAAUAUAAUAUGCUCAACGGCAUUAGUACUUAUUCGGUCUGUUAUAAAUUUUGAUGUGUUAUUUUCGUCAUUCUAUUGAAUUGUUAUAAGGACAAAUUAUUGUAAUAUUUACGUAGCCUACCAUAAGAAUUGAAAAGCAUUGUUUUCAAAAAUCUUGAUGAAAGAAAAUUUUUGGUAGAGCACUAAAAAUAUUUGCUUACCACGGCUUUUGUCGGCUAACUGACCUUAUUUUUUAAAUGAAGCUAUAAGUGACUAGGAUCUAUCGAGUUUACCUUAGCUUCCGAAGAUUCUGAACAGAGUAACUAGUCAGAUGUUAAAUGUAAAAAAUGAUCGAGGCUGUUAAAAAUUUGAUUGUCGUAUUAUAUCGCGAUAUUCGCUAUUAUGUUGUUGAUUUUAUUUAUUUAUAGUUUGUAGUUAGAGUAAGGCGUAGCUUGUAGCUCGAGGCUAUAUUCCUCAUUGUAUUGUACAAGUGAUCGCUUCGGGUAGGUGUCGCGGGAAGGCCUGCAAGACUGUUUGGAAGGCGUUCUAGCCAGUAAUGAAGCUUUUAUUAGAUGUACGUCUAUGUGCUUCCAGUGGAAUUAAAUUAUGCCCGAUAUAGCAGGCUGGUCGCGGCUUAUAUACUUUUUUCGGCAAUAUUAGCAAGAAAAUAUUGUGUACCAAGUACACAAUCUAAAUAAAAAAUCAGUUUUUUUUUUUUUCACUGUCAAUAAAUGUAUCUAUGGUUCGCCUGGUGUUGCCAGGAUUUGCACAGCACUUUCAGUGAAAUGUAGAAGAAAUAAUUACGAUUGUAUUAAUUAAAAUCUUUAUAAUAUCAAUGGAUAAAUGACACCACCCCAUGAAGACAAGGUUUAAGAUAAUUUCAAUACACCUAGCGUUUCUCUCUUACGUAAGAUUUAAGAAGCAGGUUAGCAAUAUGAACACAUUAACAGAUAAAAUAGAUUUAGACUUGAAAUAGUUCGUGUACUUACAAUAGAGCCUAUUUAUUUUUCUUAUCUGUCUUACAAGAUAAACAUUUAGAACUUUUUCGUAUACAAGUUUUUUCUUAUUUUGUAAAACAAGUAAGAAAAAGUCUAUUGAUUAUUAUUUUUGUUUGUUACCAUUUUAUUGUGAAAAUUAAUUAGAUAUUGUUACGUGUAUUCGUUUUGAAAUAAUCGCAGAUUAAAGUUCAUAUAUUUUAAACCUAUUUACUCAUUUAUUUAAGUAUUUGAAAAUAUAAAAAGACAAGUGAAGAGAGAUUCUAUUUUGAAAAUCUGCUAUCAUUUCAAAAUAUACCAAUUUGUUUGUUUCUUAUUUAUUUGAUUGAAUUUAGCUUUUGCCGUUAAGAUGUUGGAGUGUAUUUGUCGCCUAUUAAUAUCGUACCAAAGAAAUUGUUUACAUGUUAGUUGUGUGAUUGUUUUAUAUUUAUUGCUGAAAAUUAGAAAUUAUUUAACUUUAUGUAUGACAUACGUAACUGUUGAACUGCUGGUCAUUUACAGAUUGAUGAAAAUUGAGAAUUAUUUCGUUAAUUUAAAUGUAAUGUACAUAGACUAGCAGGUCAACCUACCCCAAUCUGUCAAAUUUUGCUAAUUGAACAUUAACCUUCCACUAUUGUGAUAAGGUUGAAAAUCUAUUGAAGAAAUUUGGCAGAUUGAGGCUGGUUAAUGUACUGUCUGUACUAGGUAAGCCUUAAGUUGUUAUAAUUCAAGCGUGUCUAUCAAUUUUGUGUGUCUUACCAUAGCAAUAAACUUGCCUUAUUUAUUGUAUUCUUAUUAGUUACCAACUUGAAAAUAUUCGUUAUCCACUAAGUGAAGUACCACUAUAGUCAUUUUACGGCCUCUAUUUGCAUGAAAAAUAUAUUGUCUAUCAUCAGUUGUAAUAGUGCAGUUCUCACUAAAUAACUCUGCCGUUCCGAAGUUAAUGAACACAACAGUUCUGCGCUUGCGCAAGAGUCGGAUCCAUGACUUUUAAAUCAUCUGUUCAGGCUUUUCCCGACCAAGUCGGGGUCGGCUUCCAUUCUAACCGGAUUAAGCAGAGUGCCGGGCAAUCCAAUACUGGUUGUCGGACUGACUGGCUUUUCACUAUCCGUAACAACAGCAAUCGCUGACUUUUAGAUGGGUUAAAAGUUAUUUGAGAGAACUAUAUCCUAUUCUACAUUAAACAUUGAAUGAAAUUUGUACCCAUAUUGUUUCUAGCCAGCAGUAAAGACAUUUCGCUUCAUCGCUAACGCUAGAUAUUACUGUAAAUAAACGCAUAUUCCGUUCUACAUUCUAACAUUUUGUAUUCCGACGCAAUAGUUCGUGGUUUACACAAAUAUUGUACAAAAUAUAUUAUUUUUCAAAUA